rnacentral:rRNA from 1 species
UACGGAGGGUGCGAGCGUUAAUCGGAAUUACUGGGCGUAAAGCGCGCGUAGGCGGUUUGUUAAGUCAGCUGUGAAAGCCCCGGGCUCAACCUGGGAACUGCAGUUGAUACUGGCCGACUAGAGUACGAGAGAGGGAGGUAGAAUUCCAUGUGUAGCGGUGAAAUGCGUAGAUAUAUGGAGGAAUACCAGUGGCGAAGGCGGCCUCCUGGCUCGAUACUGACGCUGAGGUGCGAAAGCGUGGGGAUCAAACGGG